GGGGAUUGAGCUCAGUGGCAGAGCGCUUGCCUAGCAAGCUCAAGGCCCUGGGUUCGAUCCCCAGCUCCG
rfam:Rattus norvegicus chromosome 16, whole genome shotgun sequence.